rfam:Acyrthosiphon pisum strain LSR1 Contig7318, whole genome shotgun sequence.
CCGUGUUCUGUGACUGACUCGGCUGGCGCCGGACUGUCGGACGCCCGCCGGUCUGUCGCAGAACACAAGA